CCCAUACCCGGCCGCCGCGUCCGAAAAGCCUCGUGUUUUAAGCCGCGGUGAGUAGGAGGGGCGCGGAGGCGAGCGUCGAAGGUGCCGGGCGUAAGCCCGCCUGGAGCCGCCUCCGGCGCAGAUCUUGGUGGUAGUAGCAAAUACUCAAGUGAGAACCUUGAGGACUGAGGUGGAGAAGGGUUCCAUGUGAACAGCAGUUGAACAUGGGUCAGUCGGUCCUAAGGGAUAGGAGAAAUCCGUUCCGAGGCGGGACCUAAUUUAUUAUGAAAGUCCCGCUGAUGACCGAAAGGGAAUCGGGUUAAUAUUCCCGAACCCGGACGCGGAGAUCGUCCUCUUCGGAGGUACAUUGCGGUAACGCAAACGAGCUCGGAGACGUCGACGGGAGCACCGGGAAGAGUUAUCUUUUCUUUGUAAGGAUUCGACUCCCUGGAAUCGGCUCGCCCGGAGAUAGGGAUGGUGUUUCCGUAAAGCACCGCGCCUCUUGCGGUGUCCGGAUCGCUCCCGUCGGCCCUUGAAAAUCCGAGUGAGAGAUAGUGAUUUUCGUGCCGGACCGUACCCAUAUCCGCAGCAGGUCU
rnacentral:rRNA from 1 species